rnacentral:rRNA from 1 species
AUUGAACGCUGGCGGCAUGCCUUACACAUGCAAGUCGAACGGCAGCGGGGGAGAAGCUUGCUUUUCCUGCCGGCGAGUGGCGAACGGGUGAGUAAUACAUCGGAACGUGCCCUGUAGUGGGGGAUAACUAGUCGAAAGAUUAGCUAAUACCGCAUACGACCUGAGGGUGAAAGUGGGGGACCGUAAGGCCUCAUGCUAUAGGAGCGGCCGAUGUCUGAUUAGCUAGUUGGUGGGGUAAAGGCCUACCAAGGCGACGAUCAGUAGCUGGUCUGAGAGGACGAUCAGCCACACUGGGACUGAGACACGGCCCAGACUCCUACGGGAGGCAGCAGUGGGGAAUUUUGGACAAUAGGCGAAAGCCUGAUCCAGCAAUGCCGUGUGUGUGAAGAAGGCCUUCGGGUUGUAAAGCACUUUUGUCCGGAAAGAAAUGGCUCUGGUUAAUACCUGGGGUCGAUGACGGUACCGGAAGAAUAAGGACCGGCUAACUACGUGCCAGCAGCCGCCGCAG